rnacentral:rRNA from 1 species
GCCUAUUACCAUACCACCCUGAACUCACCUGAUCAUACGUGAUCUCAGGCUCCUAAGCAGGGCCUGACCUGGUCAGUACCUGAAUGGGAGACCACUUGAAAAUACCAGCUCCAUUUGUGGGAA